rnacentral:rRNA from 1 species
GAUGAACGCUGGCGGCGUGCUUAACACAUGCAGGUCGAACGGAAAGGCCCAAGCUUGCUUGGGUCCUCGAGUGGCGAACGGGUGAGUAACACGUGGGUGAUCUGCCCUGCACUUCGGGAUAAGCCUGGGAAACUGGGUCUAAUACCGGAUAGGACCACUUCUUGGAUGUUGUGGUGGAAAGUUUUUUCGGUGUGGGAUGAGCUCGCGGCCUAUCAGCUUGUUGGUGGGGUAAUGGCCUACCAAGGCGUCGACGGGUAGCCGGCCUGAGAGGGUGUACGGCCACAUUGGGACUGAGAUACGGCCCAGACUCCUACGGGAGGCAGCAGUGGGGAAUAUUGCACAAUGGGCGCAAGCCUGAUGCAGCGACGCCGCGUGGGGGAUGACGGCCUUCGGGUUGUAAACUCCUUUCGCUAGGGACGAAGCGUUUUGUGACGGUACCUGGAGAAGAAGCACCGGCUAACUACGUG